rnacentral:lncRNA from 10 species
GGGAUACUUCAUUUCAACACCGGGCACAGUGGAAAGCAGGUGACAGAUGUCAUAAUGAAAACAGGGUACAUCCCUUCAUGCUGGAGCAUCAGCAUUGCUUCCUAACAUGCAUAUGCAUACAUGUAUACCUAUGCACACACAUAUGCAGGUAAGCCUCAGGGCAUGUUCCUUCAACAAGUAGUUGCUGAAUGAAUUAAGAAUGAUUCCACCAGGCAAGCAUCAUUGCCUCAUUUUGCAGAUGAAAUAAAUGAUGUCAUAUAGCCCAUAAAUGGAAUAACCAA